GACGUAGGGCGCGAGCGUUGUCCGGAUUUAUUGGGCGUAAAGAGCUCGUAGGCGGUGUGUCGCGUCGACCGUGAAAACCUGCAGCUUAACUGUGGGCGUGCGGUCGAUACGGGCAUCACUGGAGUUCGGCAGGGGAGACUGGAAUUCCUGGUGUAGCGGUGAAAUGCGCAGAUAUCAGGAGGAACACCGGUGGCGAAGGCGGGUCUCUGGGCAUUAACUGACGCUGGAGGAGCGAAAGCAUGGGGAGCGAACAGG
rnacentral:rRNA from 1 species